rnacentral:lncRNA from 1 species
UGCCUCCUAUCCUCCCUCUCUUCCUUUCUACAUCCAAAAGUUGGGUGCCCCCUCUUCCACAUGCCAAGAAACAAUGUUGGUGACUUAGAGAUUGAAGAUCGAGGAGAAGAAGAAGAAGAAGGUUGCUGAUCAAGGAGUUGAUCUUGCAGUCCAGAUUAAGGUAUUGAUCUGAGUGCUUAAGGUUAAGGUUCUUUCUGGAAAGAAGAAUCUUCUACGAGAAGAAAUCAGAUCGAGAUCGAUCUCGGUGGAUACCCAUAGAGGCCGGAUACGUGUGCGGCUCAAGCAUUUACGAAUCUGAGAUCAUCAGAAGUGGUGAAUAUCUAUCCACCAAGAUAAUAAGAUCUGAUCUCAUAUGUAUUUCUAAAUUUUAGAUUCUAGAUAUGUGCUUUUCUGGGUUUGGGUAGGUUUAGAUUUGAUCUCUUGUAUGUGGGGUUAAGGGUUUAACCCAUUUUAUUUUUCGCUGCCUAUUUUUAAAGUUUUGAAAUCUACACAUACUCCCUACCCGAUUUUCUAAUAGAUAUCUCUAGACUAGCUUGUAUCAAGUACUCUUCA